rnacentral:rRNA from 1 species
AACGAACGCUGGCGGCAUGCCUAACACAUGCAAGUCGAACGAGACCUUCGGGUCUAGUGGCGCACGGGUGCGUAACGCGUGGGAACCUGCCCUUAGGUUCGGAAUAACUCCCCGAAAGGGGUGCUAAUACCGGAUAAUGUCUUCGGACCAAAGAUUUAUCGCCUUUGGAUGGGCCCGCGUUGGAUUAGCUAGUUGGUAGGGUAAAAGCCUACCAAGGCGACGAUCCAUAGCUGGUCUGAGAGGAUGAUCAGCCACACUGGGACUGAGACACGGCCCAGACUCCUACGGGAGGCAGCAGUGGGGAAUAUUGGACAAUGGGCGAAAGCCUGAUCCAGCAAUGCCGCGUGAGUGAUGAAGGCCUUAGGGUUGUAAAGCUCUUUUACCCGGGAUGAUAAUGACAGUACCGAGAGAAUAAGCGCCGGCUAACUCCGUG